rnacentral:snoRNA from 1 species
AGAGCACCUUGUCAGAUUCCAGGCCUCGAGGGCCAUGAAGCUCCUUAGUGGCUAAACACCGGAUCCAGGUAAGCAGCAGCAGAUAAGGCAGGAUUUCUAGAAAACCAGCAGGAGGCCGGCCCUCGAGGCCUGGAGUUUGACACUCCUGCCGUAGAG